GCCCCGAAUAUCCGGGCUACACGCGGGUUACAAUGGUCAGGACAAUGGGUAUCGACACCGAGAGGUGGAGGCAAUCUCCUAAACCUGUCCUUAGUUCGGAUUGUGGGCUGCAACUCGCCCACAUGAAGCUGGAAUCCGUAGUAAUCGCGUUUCAAAAUAGCGCGGUGAAUAUGUCCCUGCUCCUU
rnacentral:rRNA from 1 species